ensembl:snRNA U6 U6 spliceosomal RNA
GUUCUCACUUCAGCAGCACACUGAACAAAAACUGGAAUUGUACAGAGAAGAUUAACAUGUUCACUGAAUAAGGAUGAACUAAAUUACCCUACAGGCUCAUGCUUUGUUC